GACCAGACUCCUACGGGAGGCAGCAGUGAGGAAUAUUGGUCAAUGGGCGCGAGCCUGAACCAGCCAAGUCGCGUGAGGGAUGACGGCCCUACGGGUUGUAAACCUCUUUUGUCGGGGAGCAAAUUCCGCCACGUGUGGCGGAGUCGAGAGUACCCGAAGAAAAAGCAUCGGCUAACUCCGUGCCAGCAGCCGCGGUAAUACGGAGGAUGCGAGCGUUAUCCGGAUUUAUUGGGUUUAAAGGGUGCGUAGGCGGACUGUCAAGUCAGCGGUAAAAUACGGGGGCUCAACCCCGCCCAGCCGUCGGAACUGCCGGGCUAGAGUGGGCGAGAAGUGCGCGGAAUGCGUGGUGUAGCGGUGAAAUGCAUAGAUAUCACGCAGAACUCCGAUUGCGAAGGCAGCGCACCGGCGCCCUACUGACGCUCAGGCACGAAAGCGUGGGUAUCGAACAGGAUUAGAUACCCCGGUAAUC
rnacentral:rRNA from 1 species